rnacentral:rRNA from 1 species
AUACGGAGGAUGCGAGCGUUAUCCGGAUUUAUUGGGUUUAAAGGGUGCGUAGGCGGAUGAUUAAGCGUGAGGUGAAAUGCCACUGCUCAACAGCGGAACUGCCUCGCGAACUGGUUGUCUUGAAUGCUCCUGCCGUGGGAGGAAUGUGUGGUGUAGCGGUGAAAUGCAUAGAGAUCACACAGAACACCGAUUGCGAAGGCAUCUCACGAAGGGGUGAUUGACGCUGAGGCACGAAAGCGUGGGGAUCAAACAGGAUUAGAUACCCUGGUAGUCCACGCAGUAAACGAUGAUAACUAACCGCUGGGUCGUAGUGAUUCAGUGGCCAAGCGAAAGCGAUAAGUUAUCCACCUGGGGAGUACGACCGCAAGGUUGAAACUCAAAUGAAUUGACGGGG